GUUCAGUGGUGGGCCUGGCUCAAGACCCUCACACAUGCUGUUCUUUCUGCCUAGAAUGCUUUUCCCUGCACUUCUUCCAAUAGCUGGGUCCUUCUCGUUUGGGUGAAGGGAGAACUGUGCUUCAAUAUCUCCUUGACUUCCCUAUUGAAGGAAGGUAGGAAGCCAUGGCUAUAUCCCAUUUAUACUAUUUAGAGAGAGAUGAAAUUCAUGGCCUGACAUAUUAUGUUUAUUUUAUUACAACACAUUUUUUGUUUUCUGCUUAUUGUGUGACACCCCCUUACCCUUCAUGAGAAAGGAUGCUGUGUCCUGGCAGAGACCACUUGUGCCUUGUUCACUGCAGUACCUCCAGUCAAGGAGAUAUUUAAGCAAUUAUUUAUUGAAUAAAUGGACAAAAUCCAUGAAUAUAUAAAUAAAUAUAUUUGUUUGCUCCUCUAUCACCUGUUUUCCCAGACUGGUGUGUGAGGGACGAAUGUGCCCGAUCUUAUCUGACCCAUUCUUCACUGGGUCUCCUGAACCCCUUACGCUUGGCCAGGAUCAAGACUACAUUUCCCAGCCUUCUUUGCAGCUUGUUGUGGCCUGUGCCCACAUUCUGGUUGAUGGGAUAGAAGUGUGUGCAGUUUCCAGGAAGUGUCCUUAAAAGGAAGACGUGGGUUCCUUUGCCUUUCUUCCUCCAAGGUAGCUGGAAUGUGGCCUCGAAGCUUGGAGCCUGAGCAGCCAUCUUGGACCAUGAGGAAGAAGCCAAUACUGAGGUGGAGUCAGUGCAACACCAAUAUAGAAGGAGGCUGAGUCCCUGACAACUUUUAGGAGACCCCCUCCAGAGCCCUUUACCAGAGGAAAAAAAAGGUGUCUUUUAAGCCAUUAUCCCUUGGAAAGUUUCUUUCAUUUGCGACCACAUUUAAAUAUAAUGGAUACAUUCUGUAAAAGACAAAUUCACUUGGGCUAGAUUUUUUUUUUUAAGAUUUAUUUAUUUGAGAGAGGGAGAGAGAGAACAUGAGCUGGGAUGGGGGGAGGGGUGUGGAGGGCAGAGGCAGAGGAUGAAGGA
rnacentral:lncRNA from 1 species